rnacentral:rRNA from 1 species
CGCUAGCUACAGGCUUAACACAUGCAAGUCGAGGGGCAGCAUGAAGUUGCUUGCAAACUUGAUGGCGACCGGCGCACGGUGAGUAACGCGUAUCCAACCUUCCCCUUAGUAGAGGAUAGCCCGGCGAAAGUCGGAUUAAUACUCUAUGUUGUAUUUUGAGGACAUCUGACGAAUACCAAAGAUUCAUCGCUAAGGGAUGGGGAUGCGUCUGAUUAGCUUGUUGGCGGGGUAACGGCCCACCAAGGCGACGAUCAGUAGGGGUUCUGAGAGGAAGGUCCCCCACAUUGGUACUGAGACACGGACCAAACUCCUACGGGAGGCAGCAGUGAGGAAUAUUGGUCAAUGGGCGAGAGCCUGAACCAGCCAAGUAGCGUGCAAGGAAGACUGCCCUAUGGGUUGUAAACUGCUUUUAUCAGGGAAUAAAGUUCGGCACGUGUGCUGUUUUGUAUGUACCUGAUGAAUAAGGACCGGCUAAUUCCGUGCCAGCAGCGGC